UCAUGAUUGGCCUGUUGGGAUCCAGUCCCCAUUCUUGUGGCUGCAUGAUCCUGCAAAUAGUACAUUUACUAUAAUUGAUAUUAUUAGUUAUAUUAUUAUUAUGGAAAUUAUGAUUAAUUUCCACAGAUUCAGUAAGGAGCAAUAAUUUCUCCAUUAUCUGUCUGUCCUUGUCAUUCAUUGAAGGAUAUCCUUGCUCGUCAAAAUAUUUUUGACGAAUGCACCAUGGGUCUUCCAUUUGCUCAAGGUCACUUGGACCCAGGUACGUUAUAAUGGUCUCGCAAUUAUUUUGCAAGAAUGAGGUGUCAAUAGUACUUUCUUGAAGCACCUCUUUCAUUGUUGGCUUUGAUGAUGAUGAAGAAGAGAGAUUUUCUCUUGCAGCAUUUUGCUGUUCAACCUGCUUUUGUU
rnacentral:lncRNA from 1 species